rnacentral:rRNA from 1 species
UACGUAGGGUGCGAGCGUUAAUCGGAAUUACUGGGCGUAAAGCGUGCGCAGGCGGUGAUGUAAGACAGAUGUGAAAGCCCCGGGCUCAACCUGGGAAUUGCAUUUGAGACUGCAUAGCUAGGGUGCGGAAGAGGGAAGCGGAAUUUCCGGUGUAGCGGUGAAAUGCGUAGAUAUCGGAAGGAACACCAGUGGCGAAAGCGGCUUCCUGGUCCAGCACCGACGUUCAGGCACGAAAGCGUGGGGAGCAAACAGG